GAUGAACGCUGGCGGCGUGCCUAAUACAUGCAAGUCGAGCGAACGGACGAGAAGCUUGCUUUUCUGAUGUUAGCGGCGGACGGGUGAGUAACACGUGGAUAACCUACCUAUAAGACUGGGAUAACUUCGGGAAACCGGAGCUAAUACCGGAUAAGAUUUUGAACCGCAUGGUUCAAAAGUGAAAGACGGCCUUGCUGUCACUUAUAGAUGGAUCCGCGCUGCAUUAGCUAGUUGGUAAGGUAACGGCUUACCAAGGCAACGAUGCAUAGCCGACCUGAGAGGGUGAUCGGCCACACUGGAACUGAGACACGGUCCAGACUCCUACGGGAGGCAGCAGUAGGGAAUCUUCCGCAAUGGGCGAAAGCCUGACGGAGCCACGCCGCGCGAGUGAUGAAGGUCUUCGGAUCGUAAAACUCUGUUAUUAGGGAAGAACAUAUGUGUAAGUAACUGUGCACAUCUUGACGGUACCUAAUCAGAAAGCCACGGCUAACUACGUG
rnacentral:rRNA from 1 species